rnacentral:misc_RNA from 1 species
AAGUCGUAACAAGGUUUCCGUAGGUGAACCUGCGGAAGGAUCAUUAACACGUAUCCAACGUUAAACCCCCCGUGCACACAGAGACCAGCUCCCCUCAAUUUCGGUCUUUUGGCAAUCUCUGGUAAAUCAUCGCCGAACAGUUUUGAUUCAGAGACAUCCAAAGGGCCGGGGUAGGGUAUUGAAGUAGUUGUCCCAUGCAAGCAGCCUGGUUUCUUGGAAGCAGAAAGUGUGAUAGAAGAUGUCGGAGAACGAAGAUGACUUCUGUCGCGCGCUGUGAAAAAGAAGACGCUUUACGAAUCACUGACCAACACGGCCAGUGACCGGGUUCCUGGGUCCUAGACCCCCUGAUCACCCCGACAGUCGCAGACGCGGGUAGGGAUACGUCCUUACCAAAAAAUAAAUACUUGAACAACUGUUAGCAAUGGAUAUCUUGGUUCUC